ACUAAUUAGAACAAUGAUGGGCGGGUCCGCCUGCCCUCUCGAUUGCGAGGAAAUACGGACAGACUUAGUGUCGGCUGGUCGUUCCCCAGCGGGCAUGAAAAAUAAGUACCCGGCCUGUCGCAAGACAUGUGGGUACAGGUUUCCUUAGCAGUCUUCGAGGGU
rnacentral:sRNA from 1 species